rnacentral:rRNA from 1 species
GCUUUACACAUGCAAGUCGAACGGCAGCACGGACUUCGGUCUGGUGGCGAGUGGCGAACGGGUGAGUAAUGUAUCGGAACGUAUCCAGUAAUGGGGGAUAACUAAUCGAAAGGUUGGCUAAUACCGCAUACGCCCUACGGGGGAAAGCAGGGGAUCUUCGGACCUUGCGUUAAUGGAGCGGCCGAUAUCUGAUUAGCUAGUUGGUGAGGUAAGAGCUCACCAAGGCGACGAUCAGUAGCUGGUCUGAGAGGACGACCAGCCACACUGGAACUGAGACACGGUCCAGACUCCUACGGGAGGCAGCAGUGGGGAAUUUUGGACAAUGGGCGCAAGCCUGAUCCAGCCAUUCCGCGUGAGUGAAGAAGGCCUUCGGGUUGUAAAGCUCUUUCGCAAGGGAAGAAACGAUGCAGACGAAUAAUCUGUGUUAAUGACGGUACCUUGAUAAGAAGCACCGGCUAACUACGUGCCAGCAGCCGCGGUAAUACGUAGGGUGCAAGCGUUAAUCGGAAUUACUGGGCGUAAAGCGUGCGCAGGCGGUUUUGUAAGUCAGAUGUGAAAUCCCCGAGCUCAACUUGGGAACUGCGUUUGAAACUAC